ensembl:snRNA U6 U6 spliceosomal RNA
GCACUCACUUAUGCAGCACAUAUAGUAAAACUGGAAUGAUGCACAGAAGAUGAGCAUGGCCUUGCAUAAGUAUGAUAUGCAAAGAUGUGAGGCAUUUCAUAUAUUU